AAGAUAAAUUCAAAUUCAUAUGAAUUAUUAGAACAAUAAUAAUUGAAAAACAAUAAAAAUAAAUAACUUAACAACGUCCAAACUUUCCAUGUCAAAACAACCUUCUUAGUAACAUUGUUGUUAAUGAGCACAAGCACAUUCAGCACACAACUACUAAAAACAAGUAGCUAAAAGAGGAAUAUUACCGAGUCAAGAAACAGAGGCUGAUCGCCUUCCAAGAAGAUUUGGUUUCCAUGGAUUUGUAACUUUUUUUUCCUUUAUAUAUUGUUUCUAUUGGUAAGACAAAUAACUAGAAUUUCCCAGAAUUGUUUUCUUAGUUGAAAUUAGUAGAUUGCUUGGCUUAAAAUUCUUCUUGUACAAAAAAAUUGCAGGUUAUUAACGAUAGGUUUGGCAUUGUUGAGGGUCUUAUGACCACUGUUCACUCCAUUACCGCCACUCAAAAGACUGGUGACGGGCCAUCAAGCAAAGACUGGAGAGGUGGAAGAGCUGCUUCCUUUAACAUUAUUCCCAGCAGCACUGGAGCUGCCAAGUUUACUCCUGAUAGUAUAUGUUUCGUGGUCUUGUGGCCUUCCGAGUUCCAACUGUGGAUGUUUCAGUUGUGGACCUCACUGUGAGGCUUGAGAAGGUAGCUACAAACCAGCAAGUCAAAGAUGCUAUCAAG